AGGAGAAAACACCGAUCAAAAGCAAGAAAGCAAAACAGCCGCUUAUCCUUCGCCAACAGCCGGAGCAUCUGACAUAAAGGCGAGGGGAAGGGGAGGAGACGAGAGUCUCCCGCCCAGAGGCACAGAUCCUGCAUCCUCCGAAGGGGACGGUGAGAUGGAUGGAAGGGAAAAGAGGGAUAAAGGAAGGAAGGAAGGAAGGAGCGCGACAGAGCCCAGUUCCUACAUAGCAACACCGAAGAGGAGUGGGCAGCUGCAAUGAAGCAGGCGAAGAAGGGAGCUACCGAGCCGUACGUAGCCAGACGCCCGUGCCCUUCCCAGGCCAGCCAGCGGCUCAGACCAGAAACACCAAGGCAGGCGAGGGCUUCUGCAUGCCCGUACAGAGUGCCGUUUUCCUGCCUCGGCCUUUGCCAAGAAACGGUUCCUGGAGGGGGCUUGGGGUGGGGUGGGUGGUUGGCGGGCUAGAGAGUGGCUGUAUGCCCGGCUCAUCGGGUUCGGCCUUCCAGGCCUGUGCCUGGCACAACGUUUCAGAAUUUUGUUUUUAAAAUGUAAGAAGGCCGUUUCAUUGCUUUAUGACGAAUCGGUGCAUUGAAGAGUAACCCUUUAAAAAC